UGACUGCGUACCUUUUGUAUAAUGGGUCAGCGAGUUACGUUUCUGUGGCGAGCUUAACCGUCUAGGGAAGGCGUAGGGAAACCGAGUCUGAAUAGGGCGCAUAGUCGCAGGAAGUAGACCCGAAACCUGUCGAUCUACCCAUGGCCAGGGUGAAGGUGAGGUAAUACUUACUGGAGGCCCGAACCCACUAAUGUUGAAAAAUUAGGGGAUGAGCUGUGGGUCGGAGUGAAAGGCUAAUCAAGACAGGAGAUAGCUGGUUCUCCUCGAAAGCUAUUGAGGUAGCGCCUCGUGUCUCACUCCAGGGGGUAGAGCACUGUUUCGGCUAGGGGGUCAUCCCGACUUACCAACCCCAUGCAAACUCCGAAUACCCAGGAGUGCGAGCACAGGAGACACACGGCGGGUGCUAACGUCCGUCGUGGAGAGGGAAACAACCCAGACCGCCAGCUAAGGUCCCCAAAUAUUGCUAAGUGGGAAACGAUGUGGGAAGGCUAAGACAGCUAGGAGGUUGGCUUAGAAGCAGCCACCCUUUAAAGAAAGCGUAAUAGCUCACUAGUCGAGUCGGCCUGCGCGGAAGAUGUAACGGGGCUAAGCAAUAUACCGAAGCUGCGGCAGCACGUAUGUGCUGGGUAGGGGAGCGUUGUGUAAGUGGAUGAAGGUGAAUCGAGAGGUUUGCUGGACAUAUCACAAGUGCGAAUGCUGACAUGAGUAACGAUAAUGGGGGUGAAAAACCCCCACGCCGGAAGACCAAGGUUUCCUGUCCCAUGCUAAUCAGGGCAGGGUAAGUCGGCCCCUAAGGCGAGGCAGAAAUGCGUAGUCGAUGGGAAACGGGUUAAUAUUCCCGUACUUUUAUAUACAGUGAUGGGGUGACGGAGAAGGCUAGGCUGGCGUGGCGUUGGUUGUCCACGUGAAAGUGCGUAGGCUGGGGACUCAGGUAAAUCCGGGUUCCUAAGGCCGAGACACGAGACGAGUAACUACGGUUACGAAGCAGUUGAUGCCCGGCUUCCAGGAAAAUCCUCUAAACGUAUGUAUAUAAGAACCGUACCCCAAACCGACACAGGUGGUCAGGUAGAGAAUACCAAGGCGCUUGAGAGAACUCGGGUAAAGGAACUAGGCAAAAUGGUGCCGUAACUUCGGGAGAAGGCACGCUGGUGGUAGGUGAGAC
rnacentral:rRNA from 14 species